rnacentral:rRNA from 1 species
GAAGAGAGAGUUCAAGAGAAUGUGAAACCACGUGGGGCUAAGCGGAUAGAGAUAACGAAACUGGCGGUGUUCAGCGGUCGUGAUCGGGUUCACUCGUGAUCGGCCGUGCAUUCAUUGUCGGUACGUGCUGGGACGUCUGGUGUGCCCUUCUGAAGGCUUGAGAGUCGGCCAAGUUCGCUUGUCACCGUUUUCUUGUCGGAAGUUGAUGUGCGCGCUAGACGUAAAUGUGGACCAGGCCUUUGCGCGGUUGAUUUUGUGAUCGUAUGUCGCUUGGGAGUCGGACAUGUCUGGCUGUCUUGUGUGCGUGCGGUCGCUUGGUCGAUCGCCUAUGGUUCGCUCCCGGUAUGUGAAAGUUAUCCACCUAUCCGACCCGUCUUGAAACACGGACCAAGAAGUCUAGUAUGUACGCGAGUCAUUGGGUGUGUAAACCUAUUGGCGCAAUAAAUGUGAAGGGCGGCUCGUUCGUCUGAUAUGUGAUCCGUGAGUCUCGGCUUGCGGCGCAACAUAGUCCCAUGCAGAUUGCUUGCAAUCGUGUGGAGAUGGAGCGUACCUACUGGGACCCGAAAGAUGGUGAACUAUGCCUGAGCAGGACGAAGUCAGAGGAAACUCUGAUGGAAGUCCGAAGCGGUUCUGACGUGCAAAUCGAUCGUCGGACUCGGGUAUAGGGGCGAAAGACUAAUC